UUUUCAAUCCUAAAACUUUACAACAUUACGAUCAGGAAAGUACUGUUGAAGCUACUGUUAAGUCGGGUCCAUUUGCUGCAGCUUGUCCGGCUGAUAAUAGUAAAGAGCGUGAAUUCAACACUAACCGUUCACUGGGUGAUAAAGCUUUAUUUGUGACCGGCGAUUCCGGAACAGAUUAUGAAUAUAUGAGCAACAAGAAUUGUGACGAAAAUUACGAAUUAACCGUUGUAUACCACUCUUCUAAGGGAACAAAAACCAUAGAAUUUGGUUACGAGGUUUACUUCGUUAAAAAAACGGUAUCAACACUAUAACUUCUCAACAUCGCCAUUUCGUGAAUUUGGAUCGAUUUAUGAAGCGAAAUAUAAAGUGGCACGAUUCCUAGGCAAGCUCUUUACACCGAGUCAUCCCAAAAUUAGAAGUAGUGAAGAGAUAAGGUACGUGAGUUUCUUGGAGGAAGUCGUCGAAA